CCUACGGGUGGCAGCAGUGGGGAAUAUUGGGCAAUGGGCGCAAGCCUGACCCAGCAACGCCGCGUGAAGGAAGAAGGCUUUCGGGUUGUAAACUUCUUUUAUCAGGGACGAAAAAAGUGACGGUCCCUGAUGAAUACGCCGCCGCUAACUAUGUGCCAGCAGCCGCGGUAAGUCGUAGGGGGCAAGCGUUAUCCGGAUUUACUGGGUGUAAAGGGAGUGUAGGCGGGAGUGCAAGUCAGAUGUGAAACCUUGGGGCUCAACCCAGAGACUGCAUUUGAAACUGUACGUCUGGAGUGCAGGAGAGGCAAGCGGAAUUCCUGGUGUAGCGGUGAAAUGCGUAGAUAUAAGGAGGAACACCAGUGGCGAAGGCGGCUUGCUGGACUGUAACUGACGUUGAGGCGCGAAAGCGUGGGGAGCAAACAGGAUUAGAUACCCUAGUAGUC
rnacentral:rRNA from 1 species